UAAACUUGUAAAUUUGCAAAGUUCUUCCGCAAUGUAGAGUUUGUCCUUCGGUUCAAAGCUAUAUCUUUGUUUUGGUGUUGCUGUUUUAAGUCCAUGCUCGUAAGAAGCCAAUGGCUGAAGAUUUGGACUAUAUGGCAGUUGCUAGCAUGACAGAUGGCAUGGUUGGAGCAGAGCUUGCCAAUAUCGUUGAGAUAGCAGCAAUUAAUAUGAUGCGUGAUGGAAGAACAGAGUUAACAACAGAUGAUUUGCUUCAAGCUGCACAAAUAU